GGGGAUUUAGCUCAGUGGAAGAGCGCUUGCCUAGCGAGCACAAGGCCCUGGGUUCGGUCCCCAGCUCCG
rnacentral:tRNA from 1 species